rnacentral:rRNA from 1 species
CAGCCGCCGCGGUAAUACCGGCGGCCCGAGUGGCGGUCACUAUUAUUGGGCUUAAAACGUCCGUAGCCGGGUUGGUUAGUCUCCCGGGAAAUCUGGCCGCUUAACGGUCAGAAUUCCGGGAGAUACUGCCAGCCUAGGGACCGGGAGAGGCCGAGGGGAUUCCCGGAGUAGGGGGGAAAUCCUAUAAUCCCGGGAGGACCACCUGUGGCGAAGGCGCUCGGCUGGAACGGGUCCGACGGUGAGGGACGAAGGCCAGGGGAGCAAACCGGAUUAGAUACCCGGGUAGUCCUGGCUGUAAACGAUGCGGACUUUGUGUCGGACAAGCUAUGAGCUUGUCCGGUGCCGGAGGGAAACCGUUAAGUCCGCCGCCUGGGGAGUACGGCCGCAAGGCUGAAACUUAAAGGAAUUGGCGGG